AUUGAACGCUGGCGGCAGGCCUAACACAUGCAAGUCGAGCGGUAGAGAGGUGCUUGCAUCUCUUGAGAGCGGCGGACGGGUGAGUAAUGCCUAGGAAUCUGCCCUAGUGGUGGGGGAUAACGUUCGGAAACGGACGCUAAUACCGCAUACGUCCUACGGGAGAAAGCGGGGGAUCUUCGGACCUCGCGCCAUUAGAUGAGCCUAGGUCGGAUUAGCUAGUUGGUGAGGUAAUGGCUCACCAAGGCGACGAUCCGUAACUGGUUUGAGAGGACGAUCAGCCACACUGGAACUGAGACACGGUCCAGACUCCUACGGGAGGCAGCAGUGGGGAAUAUUGGACAAUGGCGCAAGCCUGAUCCAGCCAUGCCGCUGUGUGAAGAAGGCUCGUGU
rnacentral:rRNA from 1 species